AACCGUUUCUCCUCCAGAAACUUGUACUCACUGCCCACCUGUUAAAAACGCUUCAUUCGUCGCUUCAUUGUACAAAUAUAUCUCUCCACUUCAUUAUCACGUUUACUGAACAGUAUCGAAGAAGUUUUCAUUGCGUUUACUCAAGUAAAAGUGGCAAUAGUGCGGUUUAUUUCAAGUCCUCUAUCUGAAAUCUUCCUUAGCAGCUGGGCUGAGCACCUGGUGUGUAUGAAGCUGGACAUUGUUAUUGAUUACUGUAGGGAGGAGUGGUCCCAGACAUCAUGGCUCCGUCACUGCAUCCCCGGUGUAGAAGGCAAGCAACACAAGGAAAGGAUGGAAUUGCAUACAUUGAAGAUCAUUUUGGAAGCAAAGAAUGAAAAUGUUUAUUCUUGAUGAAGACCAUCAAACAGUUUUCUGUUGACUUACUAAAAUUGACCUGACAUGGACUUUGUCGAUAUGUUAUGUUUCUCUGUAUUUUCAGCAUGAAAGGCAUUAGGUAAAGCUAUCACCGUAAUCCUCUAUUUUGUUAAUAACCACAUUCAAAGUGCUGGGAGCUUUUUUUUUAGAGCAAAUGAAUGGUGUUUGCAUGAAAAUUAUUGACUGAAUUCUCCUGAUUGCUUCCCUUGAUAACACCAGUGAAUCAAAUCUGAGACAUUCAAAGUUGUCUGAGGCGCAGCACGUAAUGAGAAACCUCUUUGUUCUUUAGAACAGUGUGUUUUAGAAACAUGCGUUUUAGAGCCUAAUCAAUAUCAGAAAUGAGAAGAGAAAAAGUGAAGGUCUUGAAACUUUAAACUUUGCAACUUUUCAAAGUGUAAUUACAGUAUACAAAUAGAAUUUUACCCAAAGCAGUGUGCAUGUUGUUUUUUCAUGCCUUGAAGGACAUUUCAAAGGUUUGGCCGAGGCUGAAACCACAGGGGGACAGCUGGUUAGUGUAGGAAAGUGUUAGUGAGGAGUUCAUGCGUACAGCUCUCCCUUACUGCUGUCAGCUAUGCUAUAUGGGUGCUCUGUGAAGUAGGCAAUAAGCAAUCUUCUCUAAUAAGGAGAGUAAAUAAAGUUGAAAGUGUUGUGUUGUAGCUAUGUGCUGUAGAGAGUUAUUUGGACAGUACCGUAGUCUAUGCACAGAGUAGAAUAGGCAAUAAGCCAUGGUUAAGUUUGUUUUAUAUUGAAUAAGUUUAGAUACAACUUUGCUCUCUUUGUUUCUUAAAAAAAUGUUGUUUCCAGAUUCAGAUACAGAUUUGAGAUUUUUGUAUUUUCUCUUGUAUUGUAUUUUAUUCGUUUGAGGAGCAACAUAAAUUACUUAAACAACAUUCCUCAAGAAGGCACCAUUUACCUACAACAUUUGGCUUAUCCAAGUGUAAUAACAAAAUUAAUUUAAACAUAGAUGGAUGGUUUAAAUAGUACUUUGCCAAUUACUUUUCCUUUUACUUAUUACACUCUAACAUUCAAACAAAAUGUGAUACUCGACUCCCAGAUUGUUGUCAUUGCAAAGGUUGCAGAUCCUCUGAUUCCAGUCCAAGCCUUUAUAUCUUUAAGUGAACCUGGGGAUUCUGGUGGUGCUAAACUUAAUGUUUUGAAUAGCCUGUCUCUAAUUUUGGUUUUAUUUAAUAGGUACUUUUCAAAUUAAACGCCUGUUUAAGUUGGACAUAAAAGUAACACAGUGACAUAUGUUUCAGCUUCUUUUUGCCAUGUUUAUCUGAAUUGAUCUUUUAACUGAUGUUCAGCAGUGACUUUUAUACAGCUAAUGUUGUUACAUUUUUGUCAUCCAAACAAAUGAACU